rnacentral:rRNA from 1 species
UGGGGAAUAUUGGACAAUGGGCGAAAGCCUGAUCCAGCAAUGCCGCGUGUGUGAAGAAGGCCUUCGGGUUGUAAAGCACUUUCAGUGGGAAAGAAAAGCUUGGUGCUAAUAUCACCUGGCCUUGACGUUACCCAAAGAAGAAGCACCGGCUAACUCCGUGCCAGCAGCCGCGGUAAUACGGAGGGUGCAAGCGUUAAUCGGAAUUACUGGGCGUAAAGCGUGCGUAGGCGGUACAGUCAGUCAGAUGUGAAAUCCCUGGGCUUAACCUAGGAACUGCAUUUGAUACUGCUGAACUAGAGUAUGGUAGAGGGAGGUGGAAUUCCGGGUGUAGCGGUGAAAUGCGUAGAUAUCAGGAGGAAUACCGAUGGCGAAGGCAGCCCCCUGGGUUGAUACUGACGCUCAUGCACGAAAGCGUGGGGAGCAAACAGG